CAACUUACCUGGCGUGGGGGCUACCGGAAAAGAAGGGGGUUUUCCCCCGGGCGACCCCUUCCAUUGCACCCCGGGUUUUGGGCGACCCCUGCGAUACCCAAAAUGUAAUCCCCGGGGCGCGUAAUUUUUGGGGUCGGGACUGGUUCGCGGUCCCGGA
rnacentral:snRNA from 1 species